UGCGCAGGCGGCAUAGUAAGUCAGUGGUGAAAGCCCGGAGCUCAACUCCGGAACUGCCAUUGAUACUGCUAAGCUUGAGUUCGGUUGAAGUGGGCGGAAUGUGACAUGUAGCGGUGAAAUGCUUAGAUAUGUCACAGAACACCAAUUGCGAAGGCAGCUCACUAAACCGAUACUGACGCUGAGGCACGAAAGCGUGGGUAGCGAACAGGAUUAGAUACCCUGGUAGUCC
rnacentral:rRNA from 1 species